CCUACGGGGGGCAGCAGUGAGGAAUAUUGGUCAAUGGACGAGAGUCUGAACCAGCCAAGUAGCGUGAAGGAUGACUGCCCUAUGGGUUGUAAACUUCUUUUAUAAAGGAAUAAAACGAGGCACGUGUGCCUUUUUGCAUGUACUUUAUGAAUAAGGAUCGGCUAACUCCGUGCCAGCAGCCGCGGUAAUACGGAGGAUCCGAGCGUUAUCCGGAUUUAUUGGGUUUAAAGGGAGCGUAGAUGGGUUGUUAAGUCAGUUGUGAAAGUUUGCGGCUCAACCGUAAAAUUGCAAUUGAUACUGGCAGUCGUGAGUACAGUUGAGGUAGGCGGAAUUCGUGGUGUAGCGGUGAAAUGCUUAGAUAUAACGAAGAACCCCGAUUGCGAAGGCAGCUUACUAAACUGUGACUGACAUUGAUGCUCGAAAGUGUGGGUAUCAAACAGGAUUAGAUACCCGAGUAGUC
rnacentral:rRNA from 1 species